AUUAUUUCCAUCCACAUUUGGCAUAUGAUGCUCGGUAGAGAAAUCUUUUCUAUAAAUGUUGUAAUUAAUACAUUUACUUUUCUUUCCUAAUGUGUUAUAAUGUUAUCAAUACUAUUAAAGCAGAAUAUUUAAUAGGAUUAUACCCUUAAAUUGUUAUGUUAUUUACAAGUUAUGUCAUUGCCAUAUUUUUGCAUAAAACAAUUUAUUAAUUUCAACCAUAAAAUGAACCAAUCGUUUUGCAGUAUUUGCUACCCAAUAGAAUUUCAACAUUUAUUAAUAUUUCCUAUAUCACAAAAUCAUUCGAAAAAUUAACCACCCCUAAAUAUUCUCCUCUAUUAAAUAUCCCAUAUAUUCUCUUUUCCUUAUUUUGCAUAUAAUGUAAGUUAAAAACUUACCUAGAACAAAAAAAUCUUUUGAAAACAACAUCAGAUUCAACUUGGCCCAUUAAGUUUGUUGUAAUCCAUGUUAGCAACAAACUCUAAUUCAUGACAAACUAAUUAAAUUAUUUCCAAUUUUAUUAAUCUUAAUGUUUUUAGUUAUAUCAUAGAAACUUUGGAUUACCAAAAGCUUUUGAAAUGUAUAUAUAGUUUUUAACAACAAAAAUGUAUCACAAUCCUUUAUUAAAUGUCAUAUCAAAAUUCAAAACUUCACAAUCUCAUUUAUGCCAUAAAUAAACUUUCUUUCAUUUGCAAAAAGAAAAAGUCUAUUGAAGGAAAGAACUUAUAAUUUACAUUACUUGGUUCAAUUCUUUUAAAAACCAUUGUACUAUAAAAUUUACAAAGUUUGUUUUGUUGUAAUGAAAACAUAUAAUAUGGAAAAAAUUAUAGUAUAGACCUAAGAAAGUUUUUGUCACAAAUAUAGAUCUUAAAAAUAAAAAUGAUCAAAAUAUGUUUUAUCAAAAGAAGUAAAUAUAUAUUUAUAUCCCUAAGGUUAAUUAAUCUAAACAUUAGGGUUUAGAGUUAAGGGGUAAAGUUUAGGGUUUAAGGUUUAGAGUUUAGGGUUUAGGGUUUAGAGUUGAAGAGUGGGGUUUUGGGGAUAUGACUUCAAAUUUUUAAAAUAAAAAAAUUUAAAAUUUUCAAAAUAAAAAAAUAUUAUUUUGGUCAUUUUAGUUUUUGAAGUCUAUUUUUGUAACAAAAACUUAAAAAUGUCUAUAUGAAGAAUUGCUCUAUAAUAUGUCAACAAACUUUUUAAUUAAUCAACAUAAACAUUCAUGCGUUUUUAAAGAGCUGAUCAAAAUCUAAAAUCUAGUUAUCUAGAUUAAAAAGGAACAGUUUAGGUGAUGAGUAGUUUGGAAAAUUCUCUUACUGGAACAUUCUGGUCUCUAAACACAGCACAAAGCUAACCGUACCGUAACAAAGGAAUUCAUAAUUAUUGGGUUAGGGAGAAGUCUCUUUUAACAGAUGAUUUUCGUUGACUAUAAAGAUUUCUUCUUAUCGAAAUCUUUGUAAUUUGCACUAAUCCACACGAAAAAUAUAUGGAGCUUUUCAUGUGUUUUCUUGAAAGAAAGUGGGGGCAGAGAGCUUUACCUCGGGAUUCUGAGUCCUGAAAAAAACAUAUCAAGCUAUCUAGCUGUAUGGAACUUUUUUCCCGUACAAUCUAUAGGCAUACUUGUGUGUUCUUUUGUUGUUCUUGUUGGAUAAAAGGUCAACAUUGUUUACCUACCUUUUAUUUCCUUGGCCGGUUGGGUCCAUUUUUUUAAGUUAGGUAACUGUGUUUUUCUUCUUGGUCUUAUAUUUUAUCAUUUAUGUCGAUUCUUGGUCGUUAACUUGGUGGAUAUUCAAAUUGUUUUCUGUUCUUUGGUGUCUACUUAUUGACUAUGGGUAUGGGGGGUAACCAAAGAUUUACAGCUGUCUUGACCUUGCUCUGAUUUAAUAGUUUUCUUUAGGCUGUAAAUGUUGUUGUUGGUGGUGAGAUAUAUCCACAUAUCCACUAUUAUACAGUGGUUUGAUACUUUGUUAUCUUAGUAUCAGCACUUUUGGUUGAAAUGACCAAUUAAUCACUAUGUUUGGAAGUAUCCAAGUCUGGGAUGGACAAAUACAUUAACGUCCUGAAACUAGGAAGUUAACGUAGACCAAACUGUUUCAUUGCACAAUAGGAAUAUAGAUACUUGGCUAAAAACAACAAAUUCGUAAAUGGUGCACUUGUUUGUUGGAUUUUAACUCAGAAAGUGAGAACUUUGUUUCAAGUUAUGUUAUGCUUUAUAGAUUUGAAGAUUUUUCUUCUUUUUUUUUGCAACACAAGUUGUUCAUAAAUCAUCCACUUGUCGUUUGAUUUUAACUCAAAAUAUAUAGUUGAUAUUGGUUUAAAGUCUCAAGAUUUUCCUCUCUCGGAAACAGGUGGUAUGGAAGAUGGAUGACCAUACACAUAUCUUAUCACUCCUGAAUCAGAGUGUAUCCACUGAUUUGUCAUGUUUAGUCAAAGUGGUGAAACGUAAGUUGACUUCCCUUAUGAUAGUUUACUUUGCUUUGCCAAUAUAAUCCCUUAUAAGAUCUUUAUUUCUGUGAUCCAAACUAUCCCACGUUUAUAUUAUGCUUCAAGUUAUUGUAUGGAUGUUUAGUUUCUAAGAUGACAUGGUUUGGUUUCAGGGUAGAGGCGAAACUUCUUGAGAAAGAUAACUUUAAACUAGAGAAAGAAUCUUAAUAAUAAUGAGGCCUUUGUCACACAAUAUAUUCCAGAGAUAAUAGUUUGCAAGUUGCCAAUAAAUUUUGCAAGUAGGCAUAGCACUACUGAUAUUCUCAUCGUCACUAUUCUUCAAAACCGACCCUGGUUGGUUGUUUUGAGCAAGAUGCUAGCAUAUUCUGAUUCUUACUUUCUCACUCUGAAUAAUUACAUCAGUAAAGAUUUGAUCAGGGUUUUAUUCCAUUGUUAACAUCUUUUGAUGUAAAAAUUCUAGCCCCAGUGAUCAUUGCUGAGAAUUUACCAGGAGGACCUUCUAAGGAAUGUGUAUGAAAAGGAAGGUAAAAGACAAGAAUUCUUUUGGGCUACAAAUUUCCUGUUGAAAUUUGGAAUCAUUAUCCACAAAUCUAUCCCAAAAAAAACAAGAAGUAUUCUUAUUCCUCUCCAAGUGGUUGCUCCUUUAGCAACUUGGAGAACCCGAACAUGAAGUAAUCACUUGGUUCCUCUAUAAUGGAAGUUUCUGUAGCUCAUGUUCAAGAUGUGUGUUCAAGUAUCAGUACUGCACAAACUUGAGGAAUUUAUUUUCCAGCCUAGUGGUGAGAUAUUAUUAUCACCAAAGGAAUGAUCCCUUUACAAAUUGGGAUUCGGACAAACUUUACUCAAAAGAAGUUUAUCACUAAGAA